AUCCUGUCUGAAUAUGGGGGGACCAUCCUCCAAGGCUAAAUACUCCUGACUGACCGAUAGUGAACCAGUACCGUGAGGGAAAGGCGAAAAGAACCCCGGCGAGGGGAGUGAAAAAGAACCUGAAACCGUGUACGUACAAGCAGUGGGAGCACGCUUAGGCGUGUGACUGCGUACCUUUUGUAUAAUGGGUCAGCGACUUAUAUUCUGUAGCAAGGUUAACCGAAUAGGGGAGCCGAAGGGAAACCGAGUCUUAACUGGGCGUUAAGUUGCAGGGUAUAGACCCGAAACCCGGUGAUCUAGCCAUGGGCAGGUUGAAGGUUGGGUAACACUAACUGGAGGACCGAACCGACUAAUGUUGAAAAAUUAGCGGAUGACUUGUGGCUGGGGGUGAAAGGCCAAUCAAACCGGGAGAUAGCUGGUUCUCCCCGAAAGCUAUUUAGGUAGCGCCUCGUGAACUCAUCUCCGGGGGUAGAGCACUGUUUCGGCAAGGGGGUCAUCCCGACUUACCAACCCGAUGCAAACUGCGAAUACCGGAGAAUGUUAUCACGGGAGACACACGGCGGGUGCUAACGUCCGUCGUGAAGAGGGAAACAACCCAGACCGCCAGCUAAGGUCCCAAAGUCAUGGUUAAGUGGGAAACGAUGUGGGAAGGCCCAGACAGCCAGGAUGUUGGCUUAGAAGCAGCCAUCAUUUAAAGAAAGCGUAAUAGCUCACUGGUCGAGUCGGCCUGCGCGGAAGAUGUAACGGGGCUAAACCAUGCACCGAAGCUGCGGCAGCGACACUAUGUGUUGUUGGGUAGGGGAGCGUUCUGUAAGCCUGUGAAGGUGUACUGUGAGGUAUGCUGGAGGUAUCAGAAGUGCGAAUGCUGACAUAAGUAACGAUAAAGCGGGUGAAAAGCCCGCUCGCCGGAAGACCAAGGGUUCCUGUCCAACGUUAAUCGGGGCAGGGUGAGUCGACCCCUAAGGCGAGGCCGAAAGGCGUAGUCGAUGGGAAACAGGUUAAUAUUCCUGUACUUGGUGUUACUGCGAAGGGGGGACGGAGAAGGCUAUGUUGGCCGGGCGACGGUUGUCCCGGUUUAAGCGUGUAGGCUGGUUUUCCAGGCAAAUCCGGAAAAUCAAGGCUGAGGCGUGAUGACGAGGCACUACGGUGCUGAAGCAACAAAUGCCCUGCUUCCAGGAAAAGCCUCUAAGCAUCAGGUAACAUCAAAUCGUACCCCAAACCGACACAGGUGGUCAGGUAGAGAAUACCAAGGCGCUUGAGAGAACUCGGGUGAAGGAACUAGGCAAAAUGGUGCCGUAACUUCGGGAGAAGGCACGCUGAUAUGUAGGUGAAGCGACUUGCUCGUGGAGCUGAAAUCAGUCGAAGAUACCAGCUGGCUGCAACUGUUUAUUAAAAACACAGCACUGUGCAAACACGAAAGUGGACGUAUACGGUGUGACGCCUGCCCGGUGCCGGAAGGUUAAUUGAUGGGGUUAGCGCAAGCGAAGCUCUUGAUCGAAGCCCCGGUAAACGGCGGCCGUAACUAUAACGGUCCUAAGGUAGCGAAAUUCCUUGUCGGGU
rnacentral:rRNA from 1 species